CCAAGGACAGGGCCUGUUGCGGCCAUUGAAAGGCAUUAUGCAAUGUGUGCUCCAGCUGCUUUAGUGCAUUAGCUCCUGAUAACUAGGUCAACAGCACACUUUACUAUGGGUCAACAGCACCCUUUACUAUAGGUCAGCAGUACACUAUACUAUAGGUCAACAGUACACUUUACUAUAGGUCAACAGUACACUAUACUAUAGGUCAACAGUACACUAUACUAUAGGUCAACAGUACACUUUACUAUAGGUCAACAGUACACUAUACUAUAGGUCAACAGUACACUAUACUAUAGGUCAACAGCACCCUUUACUAUAGGUCAGCAGUACACUUUACUAUAGGUCAACAGUACACUAUACUAUGGGUCAACAGUACAUUAUACUAUAGGUCAACAGAAC
ensembl:lncRNA